rnacentral:misc_RNA from 1 species
AGGUUUUGGAAUCAGUGGAGCUUUCUUUUCUUGAUGUCCCUGUUAUAAAGGAGAAUGAGGGAGGGAGAAUUGUAAACCUUCAACAUAGAAUGCUUACUAUCGGGAAAGCACAUAACACAACUCUAUAUCCCCAAAACAGAAUAUUGCUACAAAAUAUGCGGGCAAAUCAAGAGUUUCUCCCACAUCAGUAGUUUUGGGUCAUAUGGUCCCAUCACAGUCGUCUGUUUAUCACAAGUUAGCAAAACAGAAGACAAGUAAAAUUUGAGCAACUCAGUUUUGAGCCAUCAGAUUGUAUCUUGUUACAUAAUCCAUGCAGAAUUCACUGUCACCACAUUGCUAGAUCAUUUUAAAUUGUAUUCUCUUAGCAACACAAAAACACACAUGGCAUGGGGCCCUUAAAUUCAAGUACAACUCUCUACUUUUCAUAGCAUGCUUGAUCCUGUUUCCACACAAUCAUCAAAUGGAUUGACAAUUUCGUAAAAUUUUGUUAAUGAAGCUCCUUCAGUUUGUGCUUGAAAAUUUGAGUAAUUACAAGCUAUCACAUUAAUUACACUAUUCUUUAAAACAUAGUAGACAGAGGCAGAGAGAAGGAAGGAGAUGACAACAUUGCAUCAAGCAAAACAUAAGUCUGUGAAAUUUCUAUUAAGAUAUAAUCAUCAAAAUUUACAUGUUAUAUUAGCUUAAAACAAACAAAAAAAUAUAUAUAUGAUUGUUAUGACUAAUUGUUAUGAUCAUCCACAAUAAUACAAUUGAAAAACUGGCGAGAAACAAUUUGAUAUUCCAUAAACUCCUGCAACACUACUGUACACCAGGAAAAUGAAAUAAAAAUGUUGCCAAUACAUCAGAUAUCUGAGACAUGAUGAAACUUUUACCUGAAAAACCCUAAGCAGUGCUAAUCGUCUCUGCUUCCGUUUUCUCAUCCAAUAACCAUACACAGCUU